rnacentral:ncRNA from 1 species
UUUAACGAGAGUUUGAUCCUGGCUCAGGAUGAACGCUGGCGGCGUGCUUAACACAUGCAAGUCGAGCGAAGCACUUAAGUUUGAUUCUUCGGAUGAAGACUUUUUGUGACUGAGCGGCGGACGGGUGAGUAACGCGUGGGUAACCUGCCUCAUACAGGGGGAUAACAGUUAGAAAUGACU